GUCUUAGUAGUUUAAAAAAAACACUGGUCUUGUAAAUCAGAAAUAAAGCGACUUUCUAAGACU
rnacentral:tRNA from 2 species